rfam:Ictidomys tridecemlineatus contig079809, whole genome shotgun sequence.
GGGGUUGUGGCUCAGAGGUAGAGCACUUGCUUCGCACGUGUGAGGCCCUGGGUUCAAUCCUCAGCACCA